AGGGCUUUAGCUCAGUUGGUAGAGCGCUUGCCUUACAAGCAAGAUGUCAACGGUUCGAGUCCGUUAAGCCCUA
rnacentral:tRNA from 1 species